rnacentral:rRNA from 1 species
GAUGAACGCUGGCGGCGUGCCUAAUACAUGCAAGUCGAGCGAACAGACGAGGAGCUUGCUCCUCUGACGUUAGCGGCGGACGUGUGAGUAACACGUGGAUAACCUACCUAUAAGACUGGGAUAACUUCGGGAAACCGGAGCUAAUACCGGAUAAUAUAUUGAACCGCAUGGUUCAAUAGUGAAAGACGGUUUUGCUGUCACUUAUAGAUGGAUCCGCGCCGCAUUAGCUAGUUGGUAAGGUAACGGCUUACCAAGGCAACGAUGCGUAGCCGACCUGAGAGGGUGAUCGGCCACACUGGAACUGAGACACGGUCCAGACUACGACGGGAGGCAGCAGUAGGGAAUCUUCCGCAAUGGGCGAAAGCUUGACGGAGCAACGCCGCGUGAGUGAUGAAGGUCUUCGGAUCGUAAAACUCUGUUAUUAGGGAAGAACAAAUGUGUAAGUAACUAUGCACGUCUUGACGGUACCUAAUCAGAAAGCCACGGCUAACUACGUG